rnacentral:rRNA from 1 species
UACGGGGGGGCAAGCGUUGUUCGGAAUUACUGGGCGUAAAGGGUUCGUAGGUGGCUUGCUAAGUCAGACGUGAAAUCCCUCAGCUUAACUGGGAACUGCGUCUGAGACUGGUGAGCUUGAGUGCAGGAGAGGAACGCGGAAUCCAGGUGUAGCGGUGAAUGACGUAGAGUAUCUGGAGGAACACCGGUGGCGAAGGCGGCGUUCUGGACUGCUACUGACACUGAGGAACGAAAGCCAGGGAGCAAACGGG